CCUACGGGAGGCAGCAGUGGGGAAUAUUGGACAAUGGGGGCAACCCUGAUCCAGCCAUGCCGCGUGUGUGAAGAAGGCCCUCGGGUUGUAAAGCACUUUCAGUGAGGAAGAACGCCUGGUGGUUAAUACCCAUCAGGAAAGACAUCACUCACAGAAGAAGCACCGGCUAACUCCGUGCCAGCAGCCGCGGUAAUACGGAGGGUGCGAGCGUUAAUCGGAAUUACUGGGCGUAAAGCGCGCGUAGGUGGCUUGAUAAGCCGGUUGUGAAAGCCCCGGGCUCAACCUGGGAACGGCAUCCGGAACUGUCAAGCUUGAGUGCAGGAGAGGAAGGUAGAAUUCCCGGUGUAGCGGUGAAAAGCGUAGAGAUCGGGAGGAAUACCGGUGGCGAUGGCGGCCUUCUGGACUGAUAGUGACACUGAGGUGCGAAAGCGUGCGUAGCAAACAGGCAUAGAUAACCGUGGAGUC
rnacentral:rRNA from 1 species